GACGAACGCUGGCGGCGUGCUUAACACGUGCAAGUCGAACGGAAAGGCCCUGCUUUUGUGGGGUGCUCGAGUGGCGAACGGGUGAGUAACACGUGAGUAACCUGCCCUUGACUUUGGGAUAACUUCAGGAAACUGGGGCUAAUACCGGAUAGGAGCUCCUGCUGCAUGGUGGGGGUUGGAAAGUUUCGGCGGUUGGGGAUGGACUCGCGGCUUAUCAGCUUGUUGGUGGGGUAGUGGCUUACCAAGGCUUUGACGGGUAGCCGGCCUGAAAGGGUGACCGGCCACAUUGGGACUGAGAUACGGCCCAGACUCCUACGGGAGGCAGCAGUGGGGAAUAUUGCACAAUGGGCGGAAGCCUGAUGCAGCAACGCCGCGUGCGGGAUGACGGCCUUCGGGUUGUAAACCGCUUUCGCCUGUGACGAAGCGUGAGUGACGGUAAUGGGUAAAGAAGCACCGGCUAACUACGUG
rnacentral:rRNA from 1 species